UAUUUAUUGGAACCUCGUAUUUACACUGGAAAGGUAUGUAGUUGUAAGCAUACUAGCUACUAACAAAUCUCAUUCUCCAAAAUUUCUUAAAUUUACAAAUUUCUCAUGAGAUUUUGAGGUUUCACUUAAGGGCCUGUUUUAAUUUGUGAAAAGCAUGGGAAAGAAAGUCUUUCUCAGAAAACUUCAUUUCCAAGACACUUGAGGAAAAGAAAGCAUAGUUUUCUUUUUCUUUUUUUCCUUCUCUUUUUAACACUCUCACUCACACCUCACACACACUCAUGCACUCACACCAUCGAUGCUUCUUCAAUGCUUUUGAAUUGUGUUCAAAAUUCUUUUCCAGCAGCCUUAUUGCUAUAUUUAUGUUGAACAGAAGUAAAUUGACUGGAUAAUCAUUUAGGGGUGGGUAUGGGACAGGUUAUGUUCAAAAUUCUUUUCCAGUAGCCUUAUAAUUUGCCUUGACAGAUUUUCAUGUCUUUUGGAAAGCCAGAAAGUGUUCCUGCUACUGGAAAAUUCUCAAACAUGCUAAAGUUCAUUGUUAAUGAGGUAAAUGUGCUCAACUUUUCUACUUGUUGGUUGAUUAUCAACAACAUGAACAAAAACUGGUCGCAGUCCAAUUUAGCAAUUUAAGGAAGUGUACUUGCAUUGACAAUAGUUGAUUUCUAUCUUGAUGGUUAUAUUUCUUCAAUUCAAGGAUCCGUGUUGGUUUUGAGUUUUUUUUUGGUGAUUCUUGUCAUAUUGUCGAUUUUUGGAGAUUUUUGUUUAUGACAGAACCUUUUUAGGCUUUCAAGUGUUUCAUUUCAAAUUUUCUAAUUCUUUUGAUUUCUACCUUUUUAGGAUUUUGAUUUUGCUUUAUUUUGUAAUGUUUGGUGAAUUGGGUUCUUUUUCCAUGUCUUAAAUCAUGUCAUUGUUCUGAUUUUGGUAGAUCACAUAGUGGGUUGUUAAUCAUUUUCAUGAUAUUAUUAUUAUUUUAAAAUAUCUUGUAUAGGGGGGAUUUUGAUUUUGGUUUAAUUUUCUAGUGUUUGUUGAAUUGGUGUAUUCUGAUUUGGUAUGCUUUUUUUUUGGGGGGGUUUCUAAUAGUUUGAUGAGUAAUUAGUUUUUUUUUCUCUUUUACAUAACGACAUGUUUUGAUUAGAUCUUUGAUGUUGAGAUUACUUUACUUUGAAAUUUCUGUAGAAACUGAGUUUUCAUGUUUCUGAUCUUUGAAUUCUCAUGGUUUCGAUAGAUCUCGUUGAUUGAUUCUUUUCUUUUUUGUGUUUUAUUUUACAAGGAAAAGAGACAACUAUUUGGAUUAUGAGAUGUUUUCGUGCUUGUGCAAGAGUUCUCAUGGCUGGAAGGAAUUUGCGAUGGGGAGGGGUCAAUUCGACGUAUGUUAGCAGAGCUAGAAAAGAUCUAAGUGGUUCAAGCAGCAAGGUUUCAGCAACAAAAUCUGGCACUAGCAUGGUUAUCGAUGUGAAGAGGCUCAACUAGGAAGGUUACUAGGGUCAUAAGGAAUGGUCGGUAGUUUUGCACUGAAGAAGCAAAUGCUGGAUGACAGAAGAUUCUCCAAAAUGCAUCUGAAUUUGCAACACCUCCUACAGGUAUUUUCUCAAUGUCUAUACACAUUGCCUUAGUUAAAGAAAAAUAUGUACAAAAGGUGCUUACCCAAUCACAAGGGAAGCACACUAAAUAGGAAAACUCCACAAACAUCACUACUUGUGGAUGCACUUCUUUCACUUUGUCCUUUUUUUCCCCAAUGGUCAUUCCGAUUUAUGAAUGCCAUGAUUAUUUGUAGGAUGAUGGAAUAUAUGCUGUUGCAGGAAGUGACUUUGUCAUUACUAGAGUUGCAUUUCGAAACAACUCUUCAAAGUACUGCAUACAUGACUGUGGAAGUAAUUUUACAGAGGUCACUAAGAAAUUGAAAGGAAAAGGAGUGGACUUGGACAACAAUCAGUUUUUUAUUCUUCAAGGUGAAGUCGAGCAAAUUUCUCUAAUGAAGCCAAAGGCCAGGAUGAAGGAUGUACCUGGCCAUAUGCGAGUGCAUACAGACUCACCAAGAUUUGUAUUUUCAGCAUUAUUGUAAUUGUAAUUGUAAUUGAUUGAAUGAAGGAUUGUAAUUGAAUGAAUGAAUGAUUAUGCA